rnacentral:rRNA from 1 species
CUCGUAGGCGGUUUGUCGCGUCGGGAGUGAAAACACCGGGCUUAACUCGGUGCUUGCUUCCGAUACGGGCAGACUAGAGGCAUGCAGGGGAGAACGGAAUUCCUGGUGUAGCGGUGAAAUGCGCAGAUAUCAGGAGGAACACCGGUGGCGAAGGCGGUUCUCUGGGCAUGUCCUGACGCUGAGGAGCGAAAGUGUGGGGAGCGAACA